UGAGGGAACCCAAAUCAAUCAUGAUGUCAUAAUUUCUUCUGAAUAUUAAUGAUUCAAUUAAGAUAUCAACAUCCAGAGGCGGAUCUACCGGGGUGGAAACUGCCACACGAACAAAAAGCAUAUGCCACCUGAGCACUGGUAUCCCAAUGUAUAAACUAUGAGUUUAAUCGGUUUCCUCGACCGAUUUACAGCAGCGACGCUUCAAUGUGAUGAGAUAAAAAGACAUGUAGUCGUAAAUAAUGACUUGAAAACGCAUCUUUCUAUUACCGCGUAAGUUGGUCCAAACAAACGACUCGUAUGAACUGCUUCGUGUUAAUGAAUCAAACACAUUAAAUGCAACCUGAUCACGAACACAUGACUAUCCGGCUCUUUCACAACUACUCAAGGCUGGAUUGUCCGAACUUUGAAGUGACGUCACGUGACAACGAUACGUUUGGAAAUUGGCGCUGUUCGUCGAUUAAGUCGAGCAUCACCUCAACAAAUCAAGAGUUUACCGGAAGUAACGUGAUGACCAGAAAAGCCGCGUGUUUAUGUUGUUACUGCUGAAACCAUCUAUAUGACAACUGAACAGCAGCAAUAAAACCCAGGAUGUUUUCAUGGCGAAGCAUGACAGUCUGAUAGAUCUCUGCUUCACGAAACCAGGAGCGCUCCUCUCUGGAAGAGAAUAUCUUUACCGCCACCUCCUCUCCACGCCAACGGCCCCUCCAC